rnacentral:rRNA from 1 species
UACGGGGGGGGCAAGCGUUGUUCGGAAUUACUGGGCGUAAAGGGCUCGUAGGCGGCCAACUAAGUCAGACGUGAAAUCCCUCGGCUUAACCGGGAACUGCGUCUGAUACUGGAUGGCUUGAGAUUGGGAGAGGGAUGCGGAAUUCCAGGUGUAGCGGUGAAAUGCGUAGAUAUUGGGAGGAACACCAGUGGCGAAGGCGGCUCACUGGACCGGUUCUGACGCUGAGGCGCGAAAGCGUGGGGAGCAAACGGG